UUGAACGCUGGCGGUAGGCCUAACACAUGCAAGUCGAGCGGAUGAGGGAAGCUUGCUUCCCGAUUUAGCGGCGGACGGGUGAGUAAUGCCUAGGAAUCUGCCUAUUAGUGGGGGAUAACGUUCCGAAAGGAACGCUAAUACCGCAUACGUCCUACGGGAGAAAGUGGGGGAUCUUCGGACCUCACGCUAAUAGAUGAGCCUAGGUCGGAUUAGCUAGUUGGUGAGGUAACGGCUCACCAAGGCGACGAUCCGUAGCUGGUCGGAGAGGAUGAUCAGCCACACUGGAACUGAGCCACGGUCCAGACUCCUACGGGAGGAAGCAGUGGGGAAUAUUGGACAAUGGGCGAAAGCCUGAUCCAGCCAUGCCGCAUGUGUGAAGAAGGUCUUCGGAUUGUAAAGCACUUUAAGUUGGGAGGAAGAGUUGUAAGCUAAUAUCUUGCAGCUUUGACGUUACCAACAGAAUAAGCACCGGCUAACUCUGUGCCAGCAGCCGCCGUAAUAC
rnacentral:rRNA from 1 species